rnacentral:lncRNA from 1 species
GUUGCACAAACUAUAACGGGUUGAAAAAUAAGAUUUUGAAAACUAUAACGGGUUGCAAAAGUCGUCGCAAGUUAGUCACAAACAAGAACAAAUGUAAAAAAUAAUAAUGUUGUGGCAGAAUGGUCGCAAAAUACGUAACAAAGUUGUCACUAAAGAGUAGCACAUUAGUUGUAAAAUUAAACAGUGGCAAAUUAAUCGCAAAGAGAUACGCUUUUGCGACGUUCGUGUAUGAGUCACAAAUCA